rnacentral:lncRNA from 1 species
UUUUUUUUUUUUUUUUUUCCCUUUAUAAUCUCAUCCAAGUCCAUGCAUUUUUAUUGUGGAUGUAUUAUACUAUGCUAAUCUAAAAAAUGUCUUUGUUGUGGUUUCUUUAGCUUUUGCCAUAAAAAGGAACCUCACUGAAAAGAGCAACAGAAGACCUCUUCUUUCUUGGAGAUUUCAUUUUGCCAAUGCAAUUUUACACAUGGUGAAGCCACUUGCCAGCACCUCCUUAUGAGUGAUUUUGAUGUAUGCUUGCCAACUGGAGAUACUUGUAUUUCAGUGAAGUUACAGCUCCUGAUUUGAAUUCUUCUUACCGUGUGGAUGAGGCUUUAUUGAAGUCUCCAAGUCCCUCUUGUACUGAAAAGCCUGUGCAUUCUGCAUUGUGGAAAGAUGAAGUGCUGCAAUACGGGUUGUUACAUUAGAAGAGAGGUUUUCUCACUUCCACUGUUGUCAAAAUUCCUGUGAAUUACACUCACCGUAACAAGGCUAUCUCCUGUCUAGAUUUAAAGCUGUAAUUAUAACCACUGCAUGCUAUUUGAACGGGGUUGGUCUUGAACUGUAACAUGUGAGAAAAGUGAUGCUUUUCUUCAUACGGGGCUAAACCAGUGAAAGAAAGAGAAUUUAUUCAAAAUUCUCAUGUAGUGCAAUUUCUUGUGAAAUUUCUUGUGUGUAUCCACUCUGCCCAUACAAAAUACUUUUAGACAAGGUUAUUUGUAGUUCAGCAUAAUUUCCUGUUUUAAAGCCUACAGAAGUUGCAAGCUGGCUUAUUACAUGAUCCCUCUGGAUAGCAUGCUAGAGCAACAAGCUUGUGUACUGUCUCAGCAGGUUUUGUUUGGAGUGGUGGAUGGGAGAGGUGUAAACACGUGUUUGGUUAUUAUAUUCAUAAUUAUAAUAAGUGAUAAGAAAAAUUAGAGUAUGCACAUGGAAAGUAAUGGUUCAAUGGUUAUAUAUGACACAUUAAAGAUUUUUUCCACUUGUGAAUUCAGUUUUUGGGUUUGAUUUAGUUUGUACAAUUAUCUCAGAUACUUCUGAGAUCAUAUAUCUUUUGGGUUAGACAGAAUUAGAAAUACCAGCUGUGAUUUUGUGCUCACUUGCACAUGUACAACCUACACUAUGUUGUUCCUAUUGAUAAAAGCCUAAUAGUGUUUUUUAUAGGUCUAUUUGUGAGAUGAAUCUUUUUUUUUUUUUUUUUUUAUGUCUUUCAUUUUUCCAGGAUUAAGAGCCAAGUCCUGCAGUCCUUUUCUGUAGUUGAGAAGUUAAGGAAAAUAAGGGUCUGUAUCCCACUGGAAACCCUAAUUACGGUUAAUACCGUAGCUUCAAUGGUAGAUACCAUUUGUAGUGAAGAUUAAAUUGAUUGCACUGGAGAUGACUGUAUAAAUAAUAACUAAGGGAGAAAAAAACUAUAAACAUUGUCUUAUCUAUUUUUUCACUUAUAAAUGGAUUUUAAAUAUAAAAUAUCAGAAAAUAAGAAAAAACAAAUUUUAUCUAUGCUGUUGUAGUGGGACAAAAGAUGACAUAGUUCAUUUACUUAAAAGGCAGCAUCUCUGCCUCGAUUUCUGUCUAUAUAUGAGAUUACGUCAAAUAACACUUUGGUCCAUGAAUACCAUGUUGAGAUUUUAAGGUUCAGAAAUAUCACCUCAAACUUAAUAUUACUUUUUUUUUUUUUUUUUUUUUUUUUUUUUUUUUUUUUUUUUUUUUUUUUUUUUUUUUUUUUUUUGGAGUCUUAAGUGUUUAAUUAAAGAGGAUAUUCCAAAUAAUAACAGAAGAAAAUAUCUCCAUGUGAGUAGAAGGCAUCAUGGCAUUUUUUAAACAAGGUUAAUUAUAAUUCUGCCCAAAAUAAUAGUGUUAUAUAUGGUGUGAAUUUAUUUAUUCAUCAUUCAUAAAACCCAUUUUCACUAGACUGGAUAAAGGAUAUAAUCCUUUAUUAUCUGGCAUUUUCUCACCUUCAGGAUAUUUAGAAAGAGUACUUGGGUCAGUUUGUUAUCUUAUUCAUUAACUAUCACGUUUGGCCAAAUUUCUGUUUUUCAAUAUGCAUAAUGCCUUCAACAGCUAUUGAGAAUAUUUAUUCUUCCCAUAGUUCUCCACAGUUUUUCAUUUAUAAUUUCUCCAAUGUGGACAACAGAGCUAGUAAUAACAAACUCACGUGACUCUUACCAAUGUAACUGUAAGAUCAUCUUCUUGUUGCCACUUCUCUCUGUGGCAACACAAGAAUUAUAUUAACUUUAUUCCCCCCUCAACCCCCAUUCC